rnacentral:lncRNA from 1 species
CAGAGACUUGGAGGUUGGUUGCCCCUGACUUCCUCUCUCAUCUGCCUUGGAAAGGUUGUGGAAGAUUUACAACAUCUGGAAUCUGAAGGAGUUAAAAACUGGUUAGAUUGGAAAGAAGGAGAGUUACUGAGCAGCUCUCCAGCUCUCCUCUGGGGGCUGCUAGAGGGCAGCUGCUGGGAGAAACAGCUGGUGACUCAGACAGACAGUUGAUCUUUGACAGAAGACUUCAUCAGAUCUUUCUUUGGAGGCAGAUGGCAUUUUUCAUCAUGACUCCUUGAGGAUUUUCUUGGAUCACUUGGAUCACAUUUUUGUCAAUAGUUAAAUCAUUCAAAAACAUUCAUCACUGGGGCAGAGCCAAGAUGGGAGCUUAAUAGCAAAGAAAGCUAUAACACUCUGAUAAUCCUUCAAAACCAAUAUUUAAAAAGUGCCUCAAAAUGACAGGAGUAAAAAACCAACAGCAAGACAGAAUGAACAAACUCUCUUGCUGAACACAACUUGAAAGGUGAACUCAGCUCUUGAAACCCCCAAAGAGAUGAUGGGAACAAAGCACUUUCUAAAUAUCAUCAUUCUGGCUAGACCAGACACUAGGAAAAUACUUGGAAUAGAAGUUGAGAGGCUCGGUGGUGGUGAUAGGAAGAGUUCAGAGAUCAAGAAUUUUGGCAGCCAUCUGGGUAACAGAAGUACCUCCCCAAGGACCUCAUAAAUGUUUCCCCAUAUGUUCCUUGUAUGAUUGUAUUGCCUAAAGCCUUUUUUCCCCCACUACUGCCAUCUGUAAAAGUGACCAGCCAACCAGAUCUUGUGACAAGGCCUUGCAUCCUUCCGGGGUAAUGCUAAUUGUUUUCCAGUUGCUAAGUCUAACUCAAUCAUAUACAUGUCUUUCCUUAUGAAU